UUCGCCCGGGAACAACGAGCCCCAGCUUAAAACCCAAAGGACUUGGCGGUGCUUUAGACCCCCCUAGAGGAGCCUGUCCUAGAACCGAUACUCCCCGUUUAACCUCACCCUCUCUUGUUCAUUCCCGCCUUUAUACCGCCGUCGUCAGCUUACCUUGUGAAAGUCUAACAGUAAGCAAAAUCGGCAAAGCCCCACACGUCAGGUCGAGGUGUAGCGUAUGAGAGGGGAAGAGAUGGGCUACAUUUACUGGCCCCAGUAAACACGAACGAUGAACUGAAAUUACAUCCGAAGGAGGAUUUAGUAGUAAGAAGGAAAUAGAGUGUCCCUCUGAAAACGGCCCUGAAGCGCGCACACACCGCCCGUCACUCUCCCCGAAACAUAAUUACUAUAAAUAAUUGCCCUAAACAAAAACAAGGGGAGGCAAGUCGUAACAUGGUAA
rnacentral:rRNA from 1 species